rnacentral:rRNA from 1 species
UACGGAGGGUGCAAGCGUUAUCCGGAUUCCCUGGGUUUAAAGGGUGCGUAGGCGGGUUGAUAAGUCCGUGGUGAAAUCCCCAAGCUUAACUUGGGAACUGCCAUGGAUACUAUUGAUCUUGAAUAUCGUGGAGGUAAGCGGAAUAUGUCAUGUAGCGGUGAAAUGCUUAGAUAUGACAUGGAACACCAAUUGCGUAGGCAGCUUACUACACGAUCAUUGACGCUGAGGCACGAAAGCGUGGGGAGCAAAAAGG